rnacentral:rRNA from 1 species
CAAAACAUGGCUUCAUGACCUUAAUUUAUAUGAAGUCGUACCUGCCCAGUGAAGUUUUAACGGCCGCGGUACUCUGACCGUGCAAAGGUAGCAUAAUAAUUUGCCUUAUAAUUGAAGGCUGGAAUGAAUGGUUUGUCAAGGAUAAAACUGUCUCUAUAAAAUUUUAUAGAAUUUUAUCUUUAGGUGAAAAAGCCUAAAUUUUAUUAAAAGACAAGAAGACCCUAUCGAGCUUUAAAGAACUUAAUAAAUAUUUACAACUAAUUUGAAGUUUAGUUAUAAAAAAUUUUGGUUGGGGCAACCUAGGAGUAAAUAAAGCCUCCUUUUUUAAAAAUACUAUUCUGUUAAGAUCCAAAAGUUUUGAUCAAAAGAAAUAGUUACCGUAGGGAUAACAGCAUUAUUUUUUUUAAGAGCUCUUAUCGAAAAAAAAGUUUGUGACCUCGAUGUUGGACCAGAAUAUCCUGAAGAUGUAGAAGUCUUCAAGGGUUGGUCUGUUCGACCAUUAAAAUUCUACGUGAUC